UUUCGUCCCCAGCUCUCUCUGAAAUGUUUCUUCAAGUCCUUGUUUUAAGAGACUAUUUACUUUCAUAAGCUAUCCCUUCAAACAUGUGCCAAUUUGUGGUUGUUAACUUUCUUCUCUAACCUUUGUUCUCCAGAGAGCAGUGUGUACAGCUACACAUCUAUGUAGUGACUCUUCAAAGGUAUUAGUCCUUUCCAUCUUGAAUGAAGAAAAGGAGCCAUCUUUAAUGGCGGGCCACAUUCUCUAUUUGUUGAGAACAUAUGCCAAUACUCUUACUGAGAGUAAGGAUCAUCUUCAAG